ACGCGAGUAGGCCGCAGAGAAUAGUCUCAAGCGACUGUUUAGCAAAAACACAGGUCUAUGCUAAAUCGAAAGAUGAUGUAUAUGGGCUGACGCCUGCCCGGUGCUGGAAGGUUAAGGGGAAGUGUUAGAGUAAUCGAAGCACUGAACUUAAGCCCCAGUAAACGGCGGCCGUAACUAUAACGGUCCUAAGGUAGCGAAAUUCCUUGUCAGGUAAGUUCUGACCCGCACGAAUGGCGUAACGACUUGAGAGCUGUCUCAACAACAUACCCGGCGAAAUUGAAGUACUGGUAAAGAUGCCAGUUACCCGUGAUAAGACGGAAAGACCCCAUGGAGCUUUACUGUAACUUGAUAUUGAAUUUUUGUAUUACAUGUACAGGAUAGGUGGGAGACAGAGAACUAAUGCCGCCAGGUGUUAGGGAGUCGAUGUUGGGAUACCACUCUUGUAAUAUGAAGGUUCUAACCUGCACCCGUGAAUCCGGGUGGGGGACACUGUCAGGUGGACAGUUUGACUGGGGCGGUCGCCUCCUAAAAGGUAACGGAGGCGUUCAAAGGUUGGUUCAGCACGGACGGAAAUCGUGCAACGAGUGCAAACGCAUAAACCAGCCUAACUGCGAGACCGACAAGUCGAGCAGUAACGAAAGUUGGAGUUAGUGAUCCGGCGGUAUGAGAGUGGAAUUGCCGUCGCUCAACGGAUAAAAGCUACCCUGGGGAUAACAGGCUGAUCUCCCCCAAGAGUCCACAUCGACGGGGAGGUUUGGCACCUCGAUGUCGGCUCAUCGCAUCCUGGAGCUGUAGUCGGUUCCAAGGGUUGGGCUGUUCGCCCAUUAAAGCGGUACGCGAGCUGGGUUCAGAACGUCGCGAGACAGUUCGGUCCCUAUCUAUCACGGGCGUAGGAAAUUUGAGGAGAGCUGACCUUAGUACGAGAGGACCGGGUUGGACGUACCGCUGGUGCACCUGUUGUUCUGCCAAGGGCAUAGCAGGGUAGCUAAGUACGGACGGGAUAAACGCUGAAGGCAUCUAAGCGUGAAGCCCCCUUCGAGAUAAGAUUUCCCAUAGCGUAGGCUAGUAAGGACCCAUGAAGACUACAUGGUUGAUAGGCCGGAGGUGGAAGUGCAGUAAUGUAUGUAGCUGACCGGUACUAAUAGUCCGAGGGCUUGACCAA
rnacentral:rRNA from 1 species